GUGCUUAGGUUCCAUCUCUCUCUCUCUCUCUCUCUCUCUCUCUCUCUCUCUCUCUCCCCCCUGUCUCUCUCUCUCUGACACACCCACACAAAGAGAGAGAGAGAGAGAGAGAGAGAGAGAGAGAGAGAAUGGCAAGUUUC